rnacentral:rRNA from 1 species
CCUACGGGAGGCAGCAGUGAGGAAUAUUGGUCAAUGGCCGGAAGGCUGAACCAGCCAUGCCGCGUGAAGGUCAGUGCCCUAUGGGCGUUAAACUUCUUUUGUGCGGGAGCAAUAAUGGUCACGUGUGGCCAGACGAGAGUACCGUACGAAUAAGCAUCGGCUAACCCCGUGCCAGCAGCCGCGGUAAUACGGGGGAUGCAAGCGUUAUCCGGAUUUCUUGGGUUGAAAGGGUGCUUAGGCUGUGAGGGAAGUCAGGGGGGAAAUGCCCCCGCUCAACGGGGUGAAGUGCCAUUGAUACUGCCUGGCUGGAAUGCGGAUGCCGGGGGAGGAAUGUGUGGUGUAGCGGUGAAAUGCAUAGAUAUCACACAGAACACCGAUUGCGAAGGCAUCUCACGAAUCCGCGAUUGACGCUGAUGCACGAAAGCGUGGGUAUCAAACAGGAUUAGAUACCCCUGUAGUC